rnacentral:lncRNA from 1 species
CUCGCCCAGAGUCAACUGCCCAGUUAGGCUACGCCGAGGCCGCCUGGUCCGCCUCGCGGUCGUUCUCAACUUGCCGCCGGGACCCGCGACCUGGCGGGCCCGCCGCGACCAGCGAGUACGACCUUGUGUUUCUGUUUUUGCUUUUGGGGGAUUGGGAGAGAGUGAAAGAGGCUUUAGGCACGGCUGUGGUUAUCGCGCAGUUUAUUUCCGCAGAAAUUUCAGGCCCCUAUUGCUGCGUUCCCUAGCUCACAACGACUCCCGCCUUCCUCGAAACCCCGACACAUUGGAAAGGGCUUGCUCCUCCGUGUGACCCCAUGACAAGGGAAGGGAGAAACACGUCAGGCUUUCGCUCGAGGCGGGGGAGGGCGGGCCCGAUAAGGCAGAAUGGGCCAGGCCGGGACCUGCUCACUGAGGGGAGACGGAGAGGCGGGAGCCUGCGGGCCGGGGUCACCGGGGCCACCAAGGCGGGGCGGGCCGACGCGCCCCACCUGAGCCCGAGAACGAACCAGAGGUCGCGGCCCGAAGCCGGCGGGGGCGGGGGAGGCGGAGAGCAGCGAUCCACCUGGGCGACGUGGCAGCCCUUCCCUGCUCUCCGAGACCCCUCCCCAUUCGGCCGCCCACCCGCCCUCUCGCGGCUGGCUGCUGUGAGGCUGCUCUUCCCCGGCCGGACGGAGAGCGGCAGUGUCUCCCCGCCAGGCGCCCGCCGCGCGUCUCCCCCCGGCGGCCGUCGCGCUCGCCAGCCCUGCGCCGCGCCGGAGAGCGCUGUGGUGGCGGCGGGAAAGGGCUGCGGACCCGCGGCGCCGCGUCGCACACUCGACGACGCGGCCCCGGCCUCGACGCCCUCCGCCUGCUUCUGGAGCAGAUAUUUUCUUCAUGGGAAAGAGAUGCCCUGUAUUAUGGACCUGAGUAGUCAAGCUACUGAAAUGGUAAGUCCAAUAUUUUAAAGAACUAAAUUGACUUUUUGUUUUUUGCUGGCAUAUAACAAAUAUUUAUUAAGCUCUUGUUUGCUAAAUAAGAACAUAUUGUGAGAUGCUUAUAGACUAGCAGUCUAAACAAACAAGUACACAGAUGCUAAGAUAGAGGUAUAUUUAAGGUGCAGUAGCAGCUCUGUGUCGGAGAAGGCAAUGGCACCCCACUCCAGUACUCCUGCCUGGAAAAUCCAUGGAUGGAGGAGCCUGGUAGGCUGCAGUCCAUGGGGUUGCUAAGAGUCGGACAUGACUGAGUGACUUCGCUUUCAUGUUUUACUUUCAUGCAUUGGAGAAGAAAAUGGCAACCCACUCCAGUGUUCUUGCCUGGAGAAUCCCAGGGACGGCGGAGCCUGAUGGGCUGCCAUCUGUGGGGUUGUACAGAGUCGGACACGACUGCAGCGACUUAGCAGCAGCAGCAGCACCAGCAGCUCUGUGUAGAUCAGACUUCAGGAUAGUGGAAAACUUUCGUGAAAGAAAGUUACUUGAGCCAAGAAAUAAGGAUUGGGUAGGAUGGGGUAGAGGAACUUUUGUGUGGAACAUGUGUGAGGCACAGAGAUGUGAAGUGGUCUACUUUGGGAAACAAAUAAUUAGAUACAGGAGAAGCAGAGGGUACCUGAGGAAGACUAGAGGAAGAGAUGAGUAGGGGUAGGUAAGAGGCCAAAUCAUAGAAGUCCUUGAAUGCUUUACAGUUGGAAAGUUGAAACUUGGUCUAGGGAGCUGUAGAGUCACUGAAGCAUUUUAAGUUGGAACUCUUAGGACUGAAGUGCCUAUCAGAUCAGAUCAGAUCAGUCGCUCAGUCGUGUCUGACUCUUUGCGACCCCAUGAAUCGCAGCACGCCAGGCCUCCCUGUCCAUCACCAACUCCCGGAGUUCACUGAGACUCACAUCCAUCGAGUCAGUGAUGCCAUCCAGCCAUCUCAUCCUCUGUCUUCCCCUUCUCCUCUUGCCCCCAAUCCCUCCCAGCAUCAGAGUCUUUACCAAUGAGUCAACUCUUCGCAUGAGGUGGCCAAAGUACUGGAGUUUCAGCUUUAGCAUCAUUCCUUCCAAAGAAAUCCCAGGGCUGAUCUCCUUCAGAAUGGACUGGUUGGAUCUCCUUGCAGUCCAAGGGACUCUCAAGAGUCUUCUCCAACACCACAGUUCAAAAGCAUCAAUUCUUCGGUGCUCAGCCUUCUUCACAGUCCAACUGUCACAUCCAUACAUGACCACAGGAAAAACCAUAGCCUUGACUAGACGAACCUUUGUUGGCUAAGUAGUGUCCAAGUAGAUAUGUCUGUGAGGCUGAACUCACAGAGACAUCAGUGAAUAGUCCUGAAGAGAGAUCUUAGUUCCCUGCCUAAGAAUUGAAUGUGGGUAGCCUGGAUGACGGAGAAGGCAACGGCACCCGACUCCAGUACUUUUGCCUGGAAAAUCCCAUGAACGGAGGAGCCUGGUAGGCUGUAGUCCAUGGGGUCGCUAAGAGUCAGACGCGACGACUGACCGACUUCACUUUCACUUUUCCCUUUCAUGCAUUGGAGAAGGAAAUGGCAACCCACUGCAGUGUUCUUGCCUGGAGAAUCCCAGGGACGGCGGAGCCUGAUGGCUGCUGUCUAUGGGGUCGCACAGAGUCGGACACAACUGAAGCGACUUAGCAGUAGCAGCAGCCUGGAUGAAAACCAGGCUAGAAAAUCACUAGACCUUGGUGUCUAGAAGCAAAAUGGCCCUGACUCUUGCUCCUGUGUGAAAGCAAGAAUGUUUCAAGGAGGCAAAAACUGUAUAAAAACAGAUAAAAGUUUAUUAUUAGAGACACAGCACCACAAGUGGGAGAGCACACUUGUUUAUUUUAAACUUGUUGAUAUUAAGACUGAAGUAAGACCAAGCGCGCGCGCACACACAAGGCAGAAAUACACAUUGGGAGAGUAAGUGUAUGAGAAGGAGCACAAUAAAGAGGUGAUUUAAAUCA